UACCCCACUAUGCUUAGCCAUAAAAAGACACCCUAAAAACAAUAGUGUCCGCCAGAGAACUACAAGCGAAAAGCUUAAAACUCAAAAGACUUGGCGGUGUCCCACACUCAACUUAGAGGAGCCUGUCCUAUAAUCGAUAAUCCACGCUAUACCUUACCAUCUUUUGCUCCUCCCCGUCUAUAUACCACCGUCACCAACCCACCCCAUGAGGGACCAAUAGUGAGUACAACAGCCCUCGCUAAAACGUCAGGUCAAGGUGUAGCCAAUAAGAUGGUAGAGAUGGGCUACAUUUUUUAACUUAAAACACACGACAAGACACCAUGAAACUGGUGCCCAAAGGUGGAUUUAACAGUAAAACGGGCAAGAAAGCCCACUUUAAACCUGCCCUGGGACACGCACACACCG
rnacentral:rRNA from 1 species